UUUGCUGAGUACUUGUGGUGAUGUCCUGAGCUCACCACCACCACCACCACCACCACCACCAUGGAGGCAGGUCUACUCAUCACCACUUAAGGAAGAAGCUGAGUUUGAAGGAGUGUCGUGUCACCUUCACCUCUCUGGAGUGUUUGUCUGUGGUGAUGAGCACGCUGACCCUCAGGUGGCAGGGCUCCAGCUUCCACUCUCCUGCUGCCCACUGGAAUUCAAAGGUCUUUUUCUGCUCCUGGUGUUGAAAGGGAUGAAUUGUACCAAAGUCAACAGAACCUUAAUUCCACUGCAGGGUGAGAGUCCGCUGGUGACACCGUACAGAACAAACCUGGUGUCAUCAAGAACUGCCUCACAAAAGCUCCAUCUCAGUUCACCAUUUAUCAUGUCAGCUGCACCAGUCACCCCUUGGCAGUCUGCUUGGAGAAACCACUUCACCUCUUGGCCGUGAGGAGGCACCGCGGGAGGGAAGAAAUUGAAGUCUGGAUCUAAUAAUUGAGGUAAACACACCUAGAACAAACAAAGGCAGAUCUGUCAGGGCUGUUACUAAACACCUGAUUGUAAUUGUGACUCUAGUAAUAGUGAUGUACACACACACACACACACACACACACACACACACACACACACACACACACACACACACACACACACACACACACACACACACACACACACACACACACACACACACACACACACACACACACACACACACACACACACACACACACACACACACACACACACACACACUAUUGAGUUCCUCUUUUUUAAGGUUCUAAGGGAAUCAAUUCUGGAAA